GGUUGUGUAGUGUAGCUGGUUAUCACUGCGGAUUCUGAUUCCGCCGACCUCGGUUCGAAUCCGGGCACGACCU
rnacentral:tRNA from 1 species